GACGUAGGGCGCGAGCGUUGUCCGGAUUUAUUGGGCGUAAAGAGCUCGUAGGCGGUUUGUCGCGUCUGCUGUGAAAUCCCGAGGCUCAACCUCGGGUCUGCAGUGGGUACGGGCAGACUGGAGUGCGGUAGGGGAGAAUGGAAUUCCUGGUGUAGCGGUGGAAUGCGCAGAUAUCAGGAGGAACACCGAUGGCGAAGGCAGUUCUCUGGGCCGUAACUGACGCUGAGGAGCGAAAGCGUGGGGAGCGAACAGG
rnacentral:rRNA from 1 species